GGAGCCUGCGGUUUAAUUGGAUUCAACGCCGGAAAUCUCACCGGGGCGACAGCAAUAUGAAGGUCAGGCUGAAGACCUUACCCGAUUAGCUGAGAGGUGGUGCAUGGCCGUCGUCAGUUCGUACUGUGAAGCAUCCUGUUAAGUCAGGCAACGAGCGAGACCCACGUCCACAGUUGCCAGCAUACCCUCCGGGGUGAUGGGUACACUGUGGAGACCGCCGCUGCUAAAGCGGAGGAAGGAGUGGGCAACGGUAGGUCAGUAUGCCCCGAAUCUCCCGGGCUACACGCGGGCUACAAUGGUUGGUACAAUGGGCAUCUACCCCGAAAGGGGAAGGAAAUCUCUUAAAGCCAAUCGUAGUUCGGAUUGAGGGCUGCAACUCGCCCUCAUGAAGCUGGAAUCCGUAGUAAUCGCGUUUCAACAGAACGCGGUGAAUACGUCCCUGCUCCUU
rnacentral:rRNA from 1 species